rnacentral:tRNA from 3 species
GCACCCGUAGCUCAGCUGGAUAGAGCGUCCCCCUCCUAAGGGGAAGGUCGGAGGUUCGACUCCUCUCGUGUGCACCA